CAGGGAAGUGGGGGAAAGCGGCCAGUCACAGAACUCUCCCAGCUCCCACGCAGCCCGCGGCCUGAAAGGCUGGUCUCACUCCCACUGAGUGGCUUGCAUAUGAUCUUAUAUAUACUCUCACUCUCACUCCUGGCUUGUAUAUGAUCUUAUACAAGUUAGAAAAGCAAGCUGACUCACAGUUUCUUGGCUCUCCCACAGAGCCUGCAGUGGCUAUCCACCUCCUUCAAAGGGUCUGUGGAUUCUCUUGGCUUUCCUGGUAUGUUCCCGCUAUAGUUCUUGGAGCAAAAGUUCACAUUGUGGGUCUCCAGAGGCUGCUCUGUUUAUCCGAAUGGGAGCUGAAAGAAUGCCUGUUACUAUGCAUCUAACAAAGGACUAAAAUCCAGAAUCUACAAGGAACUAAACUCAACAAGAAAAAAUAAUCUCAUUAACAAGUGGGGAAAAGAUAGGAACAGACAUUUCUCAAAAGAAGAUAUACAAGAGGACAAGAAACAUAAAAUAAAAUGCUCAAUAUCACUAACCGUCAGUGAAAUGCAAGUUAAAACCACAAUGAGAUGCCACAUCACACCGGUCGGAAUGGCCAUUAUUAAAAAGUCAAAAAACCACAGAUGUCGACAAAGAUGCAGAGAAAAGGGAGCACUUAUACACCGUUGGUGCGAAUAUGAAUUAGUACAACCUCUAUGGACAACAGUAUAGAGAUUUCUCAAAGAAGUAAAAAUAGAACCACCAUUAGGCCCAGCAAUCCCACUACUGGGUAUCUACCCAAAGAAAGAGAAAUUGUUAUAUAUAUAUAUCUGCACUCAUAUGUUUAUCACUGCACUAGUCGCAGUAACAAAGUCAUGGAAUGAACCUAAGUUUCCAUCAAAAGAUGAUUGGAUAAAGAAAAUGUGGAAUACCAUGAAAUACUACACAUCCGUAGAAAAAAAAUUAUGUCUUCUGCAGCAACAUGGAUGUAACUGGAGGUCAAAAUACUCAGAAACACAACAUCAAAUACCACAUGUUCUCACUUAUAAAUGGGAGACAUGUACAAACAGAGAAAAAUAGUCAAGGCUGGGGACUUUAAAAGAGGGGCUUGGGAGGGACUUGAGAGUUGAAAAAUUACCUACUGGAUACAAUGUUCAUUAUUCAGGUAAUAGGAACAUUAGAAGCCCAAAUCUCAGCUUUCCACAAUAUAUCCAUGUGACAAAUCUGCAUAUAUACCCACUGAAUCUAUAAAAAUAAAAUGAAUAAAUUUUAAAAAGCAUGUUUCAACACUUCAUAGAAACUCUACAGUUUGGUUAUUAACAUAGAAUCUUCUAGGUCUCAUGGUCAAGUAGCAACAGAGCUAAAUCUAUUCCUAAGAGUUCUUUUUCUAUGAACCUCAAAACUGACAGCCUUAAGAAUUAUCUAACUAAUAGGCUAAAACAAUAUUCUUAAACAUGAUAUAUUCUUCCUCCAAAAUCCAAGAAGUUCCACACAAGACUGUGCCUUUUUGUUGGAGGUAGUAGGUACAAAGAAAAAUAACUUGACCUUGAGUUUAGAGUACAUAUUCUGAUGUGGACUAGAUCAUUAAAUCACUAAAGUAAUAACCAAUAUGGCAGUGUAAUUAUGAUUAUAGGUUUUAUCUCUGACUCUUGGCAGCCAUGUUUGCUAGGAAAUUAUUUGCCAUGGUCUGCUCACCAAAUCCAAUUUACACAAUAUUAUUACAAUAGAGGGCCACAAUGAUGCUCUGUUGAAUGCCAAGAUGAAAACGGUAUCUUCUUCUAGAGAGGAUGGAGGUAGUCUACCCCUGUGAUACGAUAGUGAGUGUUGUCUAUAUUUUCCUAGGUGAAUUUGAACUACUACAUUUACACUCUUUGUGCGAUUAAAAAGGACGUAUCUUCCAGAUCAAUAAAAGCUUACCAAAAGUUACAGUAGGUAUUGAUCUCUUCUGGUAAUGAUAUUACAUCCAGCACAGAGCUGCAAUUGAGUUUUCACAUGCUUAAUUAUGCCGUAGUUCUCUGUCGUCUGCCAUGA
rnacentral:lncRNA from 1 species